rnacentral:tRNA from 1 species
GGGAGUUUGGCCGAGUGGUUUAAGGCGUCAGAUUUAGGUUUCAUUCAAAUCUUAAACAUUCUGAUAUCUUCGGAUGCGUGGGUUCGAAUCCCAUAGCUCUCA